GUUCGUCUGUUUUAGUGGGAGUGGCCGUUAAGGGAAGGAUAAGAUCUUUUGUGGAAAUGUGAGGCAUUGAGGCUGAUGGAGCCAGAGGUGAUAGACGUGGAAAAUCCAAGCUCUUAAAAUUACCUAUUGGAAAGUGCUAGUGUGAAGCUGGGAAGACGAUGAAGAGUAACUACGGUCUACAAUGCAACGACAGUCAACCAUUUGAAUCUUUCCACUACAGUGUUGGACGUUGGAAAUCUAAGCGACUUCAGACAUCCCCCAGGGGAUCUCUCCAGUUCCUCCCCCUGGAAGAAGGUCUCUCCUUCCCCUAUGGUCAUGAACAUAUCCCCAGGCAGAGAAGGAGCUGUUGAUCUUAAGAAUAAGACGUGUUAUGCUGCCCCUCAUGUUCUACCACCUAUCAUGUCUGUGAGAAGUUGCCUUAGCAGAUUAUCUACUCAGCCUUGCCACAAACAAGCCAGCUUCUGAAAUUGAAUGUAACAACAAGCAGAAAGCACGAGUCUAGACAACUGCAUUACCAUUGUGAAAAAUUUCUAUUGCAUUUUGAAAGCCAGUUGACUGUAAUUUGUUGUAAAAUACUUAUUUUGCUGGGUUGCAUACCAGUUCCUCGUUGGACAGGUGGUUUUCGUGCUCGCCUACCAAUCUGGUGGUCCGAAGUUCGAUUCUCCGCUGGGCCAACAUGGAAUCAGAGGAAUUAAUUUCUGGUGACAGAAAUUCAUUUCUCGAUGUAAUGUGGUUUGGAUCCCACAAUAAGCUGCAGGUCCCUUUGAUACGAAACCAAUUGGUUCCUAUUCUCGUAAAAAAAUAUCUAAUCCUUUGGGACAGCCCUAGGAGAGCUGUUAAGCAGUUAGGAUUUUUUCUGCUUUAUUUGUUAAUCAUAAACUUUGUUGUGAGAUAUGCGUUGCGCUUAAGUUGCUGGGUUGCAUACCAGCCAGUAUUUAUUCUACCUGUUUGAACUUUGUGAAAUAAAUUAAUGUAAAUGUAAAAUACUGGGUUCUGGCAACCUUCCCUUUGUUUUAAAUGUAAUCAGGAGGCAAGCUCUAUCUUUUGGUACAUUUACUUACUUAUUUGGUUCUGGGUAAGU